UGUAAACGAUGAUCACUCGUUGUUGGCAAUACAUCGUCAGCGACUGAGCGAAAGCAUUAAGUGAUCCACCUGGGGAGUACGUUGGCAACGAUGAAACUCAAAGGAAUUGACGGGGGCCCGCACAAGCGGUGGAACAUGUGGUUUAAUUCGAUGAUACGCGAAGAACCUCACCUGGGCUUGACAUAUAUAUGGCGUAUGUAAGAAAUUAUGUAUUCUGCCUGCUUUUGCAGGUAGCAUAUAUACAGGUGAUGCAUGGCUGUCGUCAGCUCGUGUCGUGAGAUGUAGGGUUAAGUCCCUUAACGAGCGCAACCCUUGCUUUUAGUUGCCAUCAGGUAAUGCUGGGGACUCUAGAAGGACUGCCGAGGUUAACUCGGAGGAAGGUGGGGAUGACGUCAAGUCAGUAUGUCCCUUAUGUCCAGGGCUACACACGUGUUACAAUGGUCGGUACAGAGUGACGCUAAUCCACGAGGUGGCGCCAAUCACUUAAAGCCGAUCCCAGUUCGGAUUGGAGUCUGCAAUUCGACUCCAUGAAGUUGGAAUCGCUAGUAAUCGCAGAACAGCAUGCUGCGGUGAAUACGUUCCCGGGCAUUGUACACACCGCCCGUCACGCCAUGGAAGUUGGGAGUACC
rnacentral:rRNA from 1 species